UGUUUCGGCUAGGGGGCCAUCCCGGCUUACCAACCCGAUGCAAACUGCGAAUACCGGAGAAUGUUAUCACGGGAGACACACGGCGGGUGCUAACGUCCGUCGUGAAGAGGGAAACAACCCAGACCGCCAGCUAAGGUCCCAAAGUCAUGGUUAAGUGGGAAACGAUGUGGGAAGGCCCAGACAGCCAGGAUGUUGGCUUAGAAGCAGCCAUCAUUUAAAGAAAGCGUAAUAGCUCACUGGUCGAGUCGGCCUGCGC
rnacentral:rRNA from 2 species